AUUUAAAGUUGUCCACUGAAAGAUCCCCAAAGGGAGAUCCUCACUCAAGUUUCGAGAAGUCGUGUACCCCAGAUACAUGAGAGACC
rnacentral:pre_miRNA from 14 species